rnacentral:piRNA from 1 species
UAAUGUAUAGUCUUACAGAAGAGCC